GAGUGCUGUAAUGGAGGUUUAUGUCUCUAGGAGUGGACUGGAGUGCUGUAAUGGAGGUUUAUGUCUCUAGGAGUGGACUGGAGUGCUGUAAUGGAGGUUUAUGUCUCUAGGAGUGGACUGGAGUGCUGUAAUGGAGGUUUAUGUCUCUAGGAGUGGACUGGAGUGCUGUAAUGGAGGUUUAUGUCUCUAGGAGUGGACUGGAGUGCUGUAAUGGAGGUUUAUGUCUCUAGGAGUGGACUGGAGUGCUGUAAUGGAGGUUUAUGUCUCUAGGAGUGGACUGGAGUGCUGUAAUGGAGGUUUAUGUCUCUAGGAGUGGACUGGAGUGCUGUAAUGGAGGUUUAUGUCUCUAGGAGUGGACUGGAGUGCUGUAAUGGAGGUUUAUGUCUCUAGGAGUGGACUGGAGUGCUGUAAUGGAGGUUUAUGUCUCUAGGAGUGGACUGGAGUGCUGUAAUGGAGGUUUAUGUCUCUCUAGGAGUGGACUGGAGUGCUGUAAUGGAGGUUUAUGUCUCUCUAGGAGUGGACUGGAGUGCUGUAAUGGAGGUUUAUGUCUCUAGGAGUGGACUGGAGUGCUGUAAUGGAGGUUUAUGUCUCUCUAGGAGUGGACUGGAGUGCUGUAAUGGAGGUUUAUGUCUCUAGGAGUGGACUGGAGUGCUGUAAUGGAGGUUUAUGUCUCUCUAGGAGUGGACUGGAGUGCUGUAAUGGAGGUUUAUGUCUCUAGGAGUGGACUGGAGUGCUGUAAUGGAGGUUUAUGUCUCUAGGAGUGGACUGGAGUGCUGUAAUGGAGGUUUAUGUCUCUAGGAGUGGACUGGAGUGCUGUAAUGGAGGUUUAUGUCUCUAGGAGUGGACUGGAGUGCUGUAAUGGAGGUUUAUGUCUCUAGGAGUGGACUGGAGUGCUGUAAUGGAGGUUUAUGUCUCUAGGAGUGGACUGGAGUGCUGUAAUGGAGGUUUAUGUCUCUAGGAGUGGACUGGAGUGCUGUAAUGGAGGUUUAUGUCUCUAGGAGUGGACUGGAGUGCUGUAAUGGAGGUUUAUGUCUCUAGGAGUGGACU